rnacentral:rRNA from 1 species
CCUACGGGAGGCAGCAGUGAGGAAUUUUGGGCAAUGGGCGAAAGCCUGACCCAGCGACACCGCGUGGGGGAUUGAAGGCCUUCGGGUCGUAAAGCCCUGUCAGGUGGGAAGAAACGUGCCGAUGUGAAUAACAUCGGCAUUUGACGGUACCACCGGAGGAAGCACCGGCUAACUCCGUGCCAGCAGCCGCGGUAAUACGGAGGGUGCAAGCGUUGUUCGGAAUUAUUGGGCGUAAAGCGCGUGUAGGCGGUUGGGCAAGUCAGAUGUGAAAGCUUUCCGCUCAACGGAAGAAGUGCAUUUGAAACUACCCGGCUUGAGUUCGGGAGAGGAGAGUGAAAUUCCCGGUGUAGAGGUGAAAUUCGUAGAUAUCGGGAGGAACACCGGUGGCGAAGGCGGUUUCCCGGCCUGUUCCUGACGCUGAGACGCGAAAGCUAGGGGAGCGAACGGGAUUAGAUACCCUGGUAGU